AUGAAGGUGGCAGGAGAGACCCAUGAGGGGCGCCGAAGAAGUAAAGCUUUCAGGCUUAGGACUGUCAUCA
rnacentral:ncRNA from 2 species